GAGUUUGAUCGUGGCUCAGAACGAACGCUGGCGGCAUGCCUAACACAUGCAAGUCGAACGGGAUCCAGGCUUCGGCCUGGUGAGAGUGGCGGACGGGUGAGUAACGCGUGGGAACCUGCCCAAUGGUCUGGGAUAACCGCGGGAAACUGCGGCUAAUACCGGAUAAGCCCGAGAGGGGAAAGAUUUAUCGCCGAUGGAGGGGCCCGCGUCCGAUUAGGUAGUUGGUGGGGUAAUGGCCUACCAAGCCUACGAUCGGUAGCUGGUCUGAGAGGAUGAUCAGCCACACUGGGACUGAGAUACGGCCCAGACUCCUACGGGAGGCAGCAGUGGGGAAUAUUGGACAAUGGGGGCAACCCUGAUCCAGCAAUGCCGCGUGAGUGAUGAAGGCCUUAGGGUUGUAAAGCUCUUUUGGCGGGGACGAUGAUGACGGUACCCGCAGAAUAAGCCCCGGCUAACUUCGUGCCAGCAGCCGCGGU
rnacentral:rRNA from 1 species